GUGCUCGCUUCAGCAGCACAUAUACUAAAAUUGGAAUGAUACAGAGAAGAUUAGCAUGGCCCCUGCACAAGGAUGAGGAAAGAUUUAUCCUUAUACACAUAAUACUGUG
ensembl:snRNA LOC120103203 U6 spliceosomal RNA